UCUCCUGGAAAACGGGUGGUAAUGCCGGAUGUUCCACAUGAUCGCAUGUGAUUGUGGGAAAGAUUCUAUCGGCGUGGGAUGGGGUCGCGUCCUAUCAGCUUGUUGGUGAGGUAACGGCUCACCAAGGCUUCGACGGGUAGCCGGCCUGAGAGGGCGACCGGCCACAUUGGGACUGAGAUACGGCCCAGACUCCUACGGGAGGCAGCAGUGGGGAAUAUUGCACAAUGGGCGCAAGCCUGAUGCAGCGACGCCGCGUGAGGGAUGGAGGCCUUCGGGUUGUAAACCUCUUUUGUUUGGGAGCAAGCCUUCGGGUGAGUGUACCUUUCGAAUAAGCGCCGGCUAACUACGUGCCAGCAGCCGCGGUAAUACGUAGGGCGCAAGCGUUAUCCGGAUUUAUUGGGCGUAAAGGGCUCGUAGGCGGCUCGUCGCGUCCGGUGUGAAAGUCCAUCGCUUAACGGUGGAUCUGCGCCGGGUACGGGCGGGCUGGAGUGCGGUAGGGGAGACUGGAAUUCCCGGUGUAACGGUGGAAUGUGUAGAUAUCGAAAAAGAACACCA
rnacentral:rRNA from 1 species